GAUGAAGAACGUAGCGAAAUGCGAUAAGUAAUGUGAAUUGCAGAAUUCCGUGAAUCAUCGAAUCUUUGAACGCUCAUUGCGCCCUCUGGUAUUCCGGGGGGCAUGCCUGUCCGAGCGUCAUUUGCAACCCUCAAGCCCGGCUUGUGUGAUGGGUGCCGUCCCCUACGGGACGCGCCCCGAAGGCAAUGGCGGCGUCGCGGUUAUCCGAUCAGCCAAAGUGUAUGGGGCUUUGUCACUCACUUUACGGCCCGGACCGGCGCCAGUCCGAAUCAAUCUUUUUUCUAAAGUUGACCUCGGAUCAGGUAGGGAUACCCGCUGAACUUAAGCAUAUCAAUAAGCGGAGGA
rnacentral:misc_RNA from 1 species